rnacentral:tRNA from 1 species
AGCUCGUCGGGCUCAUAACCCGAAGGUCAUCGGUUCAAAUCCGGUCCCCGCUACCA